AACUUUUAAACUUAUCUUUUUCUUUGUAUGCCGCCAAAUUUUGAAAUCGUUAAAAGUGUGCCUCGACAAAAAAAGAUUGAGAAUCACUGGUAUAGACUGACAUGCUGCUGUUUAUUAUCUGGGGUAUCUAGACUCGAUUCCAAGUCCUUUAUCUACAUAUGUAUUUAGAAAAAAUUGGGUCCAGCCAAUCAGUCCCCAUGCUUCAAAAUAGCCAUAAGGUAAAGCAGUUACUUAUUAUCUUGGAGGAUUCAGGUUCAAUUUCAGACCCUGCAUCUCCAGAUUUUUCAGAAGUCCAUAUCCUACCUGUUGAUUCACCAUGGUGUGAGUGCACUGGAAUGUCUUGCCACAUAGCAAUUACUGAUUGGAAAGUGACAUAAAGUUACACAGGGAUGUAGUGGCUACUAUUUACUAGUCUUUAAUUAGAAAGCUGGACUUGGUUCUGAACUUAUGAACUUCAUCCAUUAUUUUAUUGAUCAGUCCUAUUAUGUGAUUGGUUUUAUUAGCCAAAUGAACCAUAGUUUUUGUUUCAAUUACAAGGACUUAGAAUUGAAUCUGUUUCCCAUUGAUAUAUAUAUAUAUAUAACCCUCAAAUAUAACCCCCAUAUAUAUGAGGGUUAUAUAUAUAUAUAUAAGGGGUUAUCUUUAGUG
rnacentral:lncRNA from 1 species